rnacentral:rRNA from 1 species
UACGUAGGGGGCAAGCGUUGUCCGGAUUUAUUGGGCGUAAAGAGCGUGUAGGCGGCCUGAAAGGUCAGCUGUGAAAACUCGAGGCUCAACCUCGAGACGUCGGUUGAAACCAUUCUGGCUAGAGUCCGGUAGGGGAGACUGGAAGUUCCUGGUGUAGCGGUGAAAUGCGCAGAUAUCAGGAGGAACACCGAUGGCGAAGGCAGGUCACUGGGCCGCAACUGACGCUGAGGAGCGAAAGCAUGGGGAGCGAACAGG